rnacentral:lncRNA from 1 species
CUUUGUUUCCUGGCUCAAAAAUGUCAUUAUUGAACUUUAUGGUGAAGUUAAUGCAUAUAAAAGUUUUGAAUCAGUGGAGUAACAAAUCUUUUAACAUGUUAUUGGAAUUACUAAAAAACGUUUUUCCAGAAGAUAUUGGAUUACAAACUUCAACAUAUGAUGCCAAGAAAAUGCUAAGCGAAUUGGGAUUGGGUUAUGAAACUAUUCAUGCAUGCAAGCAUGAUUGUGUAUUAUUUUGGAAAGAGCAUGAAUGUGCUAGUAGGUGCUCGGAAUGUGAUGAACCACAAUACAAACCUAAUUUUGGAAAGGGAAAGAUGGCUUCAAUCCAUUUGGAAACAUGCAUAAUUCCUACAACAUGUGGCCUGUUGUUCUAGUACAAUACAAUAUGCCACCAUGGAAGUGCAUGAAAGAACCGUUUAUGAUGAUGUCAUUGCUAAUUCCAGGGCCACAUGCACCAGGAAGAGAUAUUGAUGUUUAUUUGAGACCACUAGUAGAUGAGUUGAAAGAAUUAUGGGAAGUUGGUGUUGACACGUUUGAUGCUUAUAGUGGUCAAAUGUUUUCUAUGCGUGCUGCUAUAAUGUGGACCAUUAAUGAUUUGCCUGCUUAUGGAAAUCUAUCGGGAUGGAGCACUAAGGGAUACAAAGCUUGUCCAAUAUGUAAUGAAAAUACUUCUUCGAAUAGGUUACGUAGUAAAAUAUGCUUUAUGGGUCAUCGAUGUUAUUUGCCACUGAACCAUCCCUGGAGAAAAAGUAAAUUACAUGAUGGUAAAUGGGAACUAUGACCACCACCCAAAAAAUUAUUAGGAGAUGAUAUUUUAAAGCAAUUACUGGUUGUGAGGUGUGGGAAACCUGGAAAGCACCCAAGUAAUAAAGAUAGGAAAAGGAAACGAACUCCAAAUGAGAUAAACUGGGCAAGAAAAAGCAUUUUCUUUGAGUUGGAGUAUUGGUCUAAAUUGAAACUAAGACACAAUUUAGAUGUGAUGCCUAUUGAGAAGAAUGUGUGAUAUAAUAUUGUUGAAACAUUGUUGAAUGUUGAAGGGAAGACAAAAGAUACGGAUAAGGCUAGAUUGGAUUUGCAAGAUAUGAACAUUAGAAAAGAAUUGCAUUUAAAACCACAUGGUAAUGGAUUUUUGAAAUCUCAUGCUUCUUACACAUUAACGUUGGGGAAAAAAAUCUUUUAUAAGUUCUUGAAAUCUGUGAAGUUUCCUGAUGGAUAUGUAUCAAAUAUUUCUAAAUGUGUUCGAGAAAAUGAAGGCAAAAUUUUAGGUUUGAAAACUCACGAUUGUCAUGUAUUGUUGCAACAACUUCCUCCCAUUGUUAUUCGAAAAUUUUUGCGAAAGGAGGUUUGUACUGCAAUUGUAGAGCUUUGUUGUUUUUUUUAAACAAUUAUGUUCAAGAACAUUGAAUAUAAAUGAUUUAGAGAAAUUGGAAGAAGGGAUUGUUAUAAGUAAACUAGAACGAAUUUUCCCACCGGCAUUUUUUGAUGAAAUGGUUCAUUUAGCUGUUCACCUACCUGAAGAAGCAAAACUUGGAGGUCCCGUAGCAUUUAGAUGGAUGUAUCCAAUUGAAAGGUAAUUGAUAAUAUUUCAUGCAUAUAUACUUGUUCAUUGAAUUAUUGUUUUCAAAAACUUUUCAUGUAAUAUUUGAUGACAGAAUAUUAGGUCGAUAUAAGAGUUAUGUUAAGAAUAAAGCUCGACCGGAAGGAUCAAUUGCUGAAGCAUAUAUUGUUAACGAGUCUUUAAAUUUUUGCUCGAUGUAUCUCAACAACAUUGAAACAAGAUUUAAUCGACCUGAGCGCAAUGAAGAUGGUGGGACUACAUCGACUACAUCUACAAGCUUGUCAGUCUUCUCUCAAAAUAUUAGGCUAUUAGAUCAUGCAGAACCAAAGUUACUUUCAAAACAAAAAAUUGAUAGAGCGCAUUGGUAUGUCCUAAAUAAUUGUGAUGAAAUUCGACAAUAUUUAGAGUAAGUUCUUAAUCAACUUUUAAAAUGUUUGCUAUUAAUUACUAAUAUGUUAUAGUAUUUAAUUGCAUGUUCUUUUUGCAGUGAGCACAUGGAGUUAUUGCAACAAUAAAAUCAUGACAAUUUGGAAAAAAAAACAAGAAGAAUUGUUUCCUAGAUGGUUUGCUUCACAUGGAAGUUAUAAUACAUAUCUUAUCUAUUUAUUAAUGGAACAUAACAUUCAUAUCAGAAGGUAUAUUAAUUAAUAUGUUUUUAUUACACAGAUAACAAGAUUAUGUAAUAAAAAAGACUCGGUUUAAGCAAAGAAUUGUAUGCAUUAGCAUAUAAACCAGCUUUUAGAAUAUUUUCUUAUUCUGGUUGUAUUGUUAAUGGGGGUAAGAUUCCUUGUUAAAGAUCGAGAUGAUUGCCGUACAACACAAAAUAGUGGAGUAAUGGUGCCGGGAGAUGAUAACACCAACUUUUUUGGUAUACUGUGUGAAGUUAUUGAGUUGGUACACGCUUUUGACUACCGAGUCACUUUGUUCCAGUGUAAUUGGUACGAUAAUAAUCCAAAGCAAAAAAGAACAAUCAUAGAUUACCAUCUUACUUCUAUCAAUGUGAAUCGUAAAUGGUAUAUGGAUGAUUCCUAUAUACUUGGCAUGCAAGCACAACAAAUAUUUUAUAUGGAUGAUCUUUUGUUGGGUCCACAGUGGAAGGUAGUGGAAAAGGUACAACAUAGAGGCAUAUGGGACAUUCCAGAAAAAAAUGAUGGCAGUAGUGAGCAAGUAAUAUUUCAGGAAAAUGAAUCAUCAAAUAUUGUCUUGCCAAUAUAGUAGGAAUAUCUUGGCACUCAAGUAUGCCAUAGAGGAGAUAUUGAUCUAGAUAUUAUUGAAAAUGAAGCAUUACAAAUAGAUGUGGAAACAAUAAAUAAAAAUAUGAAUAAUGUUAUAUAUGAUACUUCGGAAGAGGAAGAUGAUACAUUGAAUGAAUAUUUCAGUGAAGAUGAGAAAUCUAUAGAUGGUAAAGAUGAUGAUGGUGAUGGUGAUAGUGAUAUUGGUAAGUAAAACAUUCUUUAUAUAUAUAUAUAUAUAGAGGCCUUUUUUCUUUCGUAAUGUUUUUCUUUUCUUUUUUUUAAUGACUAUCUACAUUUUUUCCUUCCCUUUGUAGAUUCGAGUACUGACGAUGUAUCAUCUAAGAGUUGAAAAUAAUUUUAUUCACAUUUAAGGUUAGAGUAGUCAGCUACUGAAAUAUAUUGAUUACUUAUUGUGAUGGUUGUUGAUCUUGUUCUAAUAUUCAAUGUAAGAUAUUUGAAAUAUUUUCUUGAAGCUAAUAUUUCAUUAAUUACUUUCUAUAUGUACCUGUUAGACUAAAUUUGUGGAGCUUUUCUUUACAGGAAUUUUCAUUUAACCAAAGAGAGUUGGAAGCGUAUAUUGAGUCAAGAAUGUUAUUUGGGUGUCACGUGAGUUUUUUUGUUAUUUCUUCCACAUUUCUGGUUCUAUUUUUUAAUUUUCAAGUUUGUUGAAUCAUUCAAAGUAGCUCGACCUUCAAAUUACUAGUACUAUAGUUUAUUUGUAUUUGUUUUGAUUUUGG